CCUGUUAUCAAUUGGAUCGGGUCGCGGGUCUAGCACCAAACGGUGCCGUUUUUGCGUUGAAAGCAUCCUCCCAAUACGGUGCCGUUUUAUGCACCUAUUUAAGCCACCUUUUUUAAAAAAAAAAUCAUCACUUCCGCCAAAUUUCUAAAAAAUGUAGAAGCUCUUUUGUUUUUCUCCGCUGGGGUCUUAAGUCCGGCCACAGGGGACCGUCGCAGUCCAUCGCCGGUGGCCGGAGGUACGAAGAUGGCGCCUAUUCGACCCCUUUUGCUCCCCUCGUUCCAAAUCUGAGCCUCAAACAACAAAAAGACCCACAACCGUUGCGAAAAACCGAGAAAACCAUUCGGUUUCCAUCUUUCCGAUCGCCCAAAAAAAGAUGAUGGGAUGAUGGGACGGAGGCAGUGCAAGUGGAGGCAAGUGGCCCUAGGGUUUGCUGCUUCUUUUUUUUUUUGUUUGGGCUUGUUUGUAAUCGGGUCUGGGUCUUUGGGGUUAGUUUUGGGCUUGGGUAUAUUAGGCUGAUUUAGGCCCGGUCAAAUUUGGACCGGUACAGCUAGGAUUGAGCUUCUACACUAAUCUAAUUACUAUGGAUUAAUUACCACCAUAAUCCUUUGCAGAAUAUCAACUUUGGUCCUUCACUUUACACAUUAAUGACAAUUCAUUAUCUCACUUUUAUUCCUUCUAA